rnacentral:rRNA from 1 species
CCCUUAGAUGUCCUGGGCCGCACGCGCGCUACACUGAUGCAUGCAACGAGUUUAUAACCUUGGCCUGAAAGGUCUGGGUAAUCUUUUGAACGUGCAUCGUGAUAGGGAUAGAUUAUUGCAAUUGUUAAUCUUGAACGAGGAAUUCCUAGUAAACGCGAGUCAUCAGCUCGCAUUGAUUACAUCCCUGCCCUUUGUACACACCGCCCGUCGCACCUACCGAUUGAAUGGUUCGGUGAAGAUCUCGGACUUCGAUAUUUAUUCUUUAUUGAGUUUAUAUUGUGGGAAGUUAUCUAAACCUCAUCAUUUAGAGGAAGGUGAAGUCGUAACA